GUUAUAUGGUCAAGCGAAUAAGCGCACACGGUGGAUGCCUAGGCGGUCAGAGGCGAUGAAGGACGUGGUAGCCUGCGAAAAGUGUCGGGGAGCUGGCAACAAGCUUUGAUCCGGCAAUAUCCGAAUGGGGAAACCCACUGCUUCGGCAGUAUCCUGCAGUGAAUUCAUAGCUGCUGGAAGCGAACCCGGUGAACUGAAAUAUCUAAGUAACCGGAGGAAAAGAAAUCAACCGAGAUUCCCUAAGUAGUGACGAGCGAACGGGGAGCAGCCCUUAAGCUGGAAUGGCUUUAGAAAAACAAUCUGGAAAGAUUGGCCAUAGAAGGUGAUAGCCCUGUAUUUAAAAGGGCCACUCCAGUGAAGACGAGUAGGGCGGGGCACGUGAAACCCUGUCUGAAUAUGGGGGGACCAUCCUCCAAGGCUAAAUACUCCUGACCGACCGAUAGUGAACCAGUACCGUGAGGGAAAGGCGAAAAGAACCCCGGAGAGGGGAGUGAAAUAGAUCCUGAAACCGUGUGCGUACAAGCAGUAGGAGCUCGCAAGAGUGACUGCGUACCUUUUGUAUAAUGGGUCAGCGACUUACUGUUCGUGGCAAGCUUAACCGUAUAGGGGAGGCGAAGGGAAACCGAGUCUGAUAAGGGCGCAUAGUCGCGGGCAGUAGACCCGAAACCGGGUGAUCUAGUCAUGGCCAGGGUGAAGGUGCCGUAACAGGUACUGGAGGCCCGAACCCACGUCUGUUGCAAAAGACGGGGAUGAGCUGUGAUUAGGAGUGAAAAGCUAAUCGAACCCGGAGAUAGCUGGUUCUCCUCGAAAGCUAUUUAGGUAGCGCCUCGGACGAAUACUACUGGGGGUAGAGCACUGUUAUGGCUAGGGGGUCAUCGCGACUUACCAAACCAUUGCAAACUCCGAAUACCAGUACGUACUAUCCGGGAGACACACGGCGGGUGCUAACGUCCGUCGUGAAAAGGGAAACAACCCAGACCCACAGCUAAGGUCCCAAAUUCACUGCUAAGUGGAAAACGAUGUGGAAAGGCAUAGACAGCCAGGAGGUUGGCUUAGAAGCAGCCACCCUUUAAAGAAAGCGUAAUAGCUCACUGGUCGAGUCGGUCUGCGCGGAAGAUUUAACGGGGCUAAGCAGUGAACCGAAGCUUGGGGUGCGUAAAACUUCGGUUUUAUGCGCGGUAGAGGAGCGUUCCGUAAGCCUGCGAAGGUGGAUUGAGAAGUCUGCUGGAGGUAUCGGAAGUGCGAAUGCUGACAUGAGUAACGAUAAUGCGGGUGAAAAGCCCGCACGCCGAAAGCCCAAGGUUUCCUUGCGCAACGUUAAUCGACGCAGGGUUAGUCGGUCCCUAAGGCGAGGGCGAAAGCCGUAGUCGAUGGGAAGCAGGUUAAUAUUCCUGCACCUCGCGUGAGUGCGAUGGAGGGACGGAGAAGGUUAGGUGUACCGGGCGUUGGUUGUCCCGGGGAAAGGCGGUAGGUUUGGAUCUUUGGCAAAUCCGGGAUCCUUUAAGACCGAGCACCGAGACGAGCCUUUAUGGCGAAGUCACUGAUACCACGCUUCCAGGAAAAGCUCCUAAGCUUCAGCUCACGAAGACCGUACCGUAAACCGACACAGGUGGGUAGGAUGAGAAUUCUCAGGCGCUUGAGAGAACUCGGGUGAAGGAACUAGGCAACAUGGCACCGUAACUUCGGGAGAAGGUGCACCCUUUUUGGUGGCUCAUGCGAGCUAUAGCUGAAGAGGGUCGCAGAAACCAGGCCGCUGCGACUGUUUAUCAAAAACACAGCACUCUGCAAACACGAAAGUGGACGUAUAGGGUGUGACGCCUGCCCGGUGCUGGAAGGUUAAUUGAUGGGGUCAGCCGCAAGGCGAAGCUCUUGAUCGAAGCCCCAGUAAACGGCGGCCGUAACUAUAACGGUCCUAAGGUAGCGAAAUUCCUUGUCGGGUAAGUUCCGACCUGCACGAAUGGCGUAACGACAGCGGCGCUGUCUCCACCCGAGACUCAGUGAAAUUGAAAUCGCUGUGAAGAUGCAGCGUUCCCGUGGCAAGACGGAAAGACCCCGUGAACCUUUACUAUAGCUUUACACUGAACGUUGAGUUCGUCUGUGUAGGAUAGGUGGGAGGCUAUGAAACUGUGGCGCUAGCUGCAGUGGAGCCAUCCUUGAAAUACCACCCUGUCGUGCUUGACGUUCUAACCUAGGUCCGUUAUCCGGAUCAGGGACCGUGUAUGGUGGGUAGUUUGACUGGGGCGGUCUCCUCCUAAAGAGUAACGGAGGAGCACGAAGGUACGCUCAGCGCGGUCGGACAUCGCGCACUGUGUGCAAAGGCAUAAGCGUGCUUGACUGCAAGAUCGACGGAUCAAGCAGGUACGAAAGUAGGUCUUAGUGAUCCGGUGGUUCUGUAUGGAAGGGCCAUCGCUCAACGGAUAAAAGGUACUCCGGGGAUAACAGGCUGAUACCGCCCAAGAGUUCAUAUCGACGGCGGUGUUUGGCACCUCGAUGUCGGCUCAUCACAUCCUGGGGCUGUAGUCGGUCCCAAGGGUAUGGCUGUUCGCCAUUUAAAGUGGUACGCGAGCUGGGUUCAGAACGUCGUGAGACAGUUCGGUCCCUAUCUGCCAUGGGCGUUGGAAGUUUGAGAGGGGCUGCUCCUAGUACGAGAGGACCGGAGUGGACGAACCUCUGGUGUUCCGGUUGUCACGCCAGUGGCAUUGCCGGGUAGCUAUGUUCGGAAGCGAUAACCGCUGAAAGCAUCUAAGCGGGAAGCGCGCCUCAAGAUGAGACUUCCCGGGGCACAAGCCCCCUAAAGGAACCAUGUAGACUACGUGGUUGAUAGGUCAGGUGUGUAAGUACAGCAAUGUAUUGAGCUAACUGAUACUAAUGAUCCGUGCGGCUUGACCAUAUAACCU
rnacentral:rRNA from 2 species